ensembl:snRNA U6 U6 spliceosomal RNA
GUGCUUGCUUUGGCAGCACAUACACUAAAAUUGGAAUGAUGCAGAGAAGAUUAGCAUGGCCCCUGCCCAAGGAUGACAUGAGAAUUCGUGAAGCGUUCCAUAUUUUC